AGAUUGUUGUGGUGAUCCUUGCUACGAAGCGGUCUUUUCUGACCAAGGUUGGGACGGUCUACCACUUCCUCUAACAUAC
rnacentral:rRNA from 1 species